GAAGACGUGAGAUUCACCUCUAUUUAUAUGUCAUGGAUGGGUGAGAAGCCAGAUGGGAAAGUAGGAGAAAGAAAAGAACAGAAGAUGAAGAAGCUAUCUCAUGGGGCUUUCUGCACUUGCAUUUGUGCUCUUCUGAUAAUAUUGCUAGGACCAUGGUCUCUCAUGGUAGAAACGAGUGCCUCAUACACGGAUCUUCCUUUCCAAGAUACUACUGGUAAAUAUAAUCUUUUCAAAGCAGUUUUUAUACGGUGGACGUUAUAAAGCAUCUGCCCAACGUCCCGAUCAUGGGAAAACACAGAAUGUAUGUGGGCCGCGAUGGACGCUGAAAGACGGUUGGUGGGGCCCACCAUCGUGUCUGUCUGACAUCCACCCCGUCCCUCACUUGUGGAAGUUCAGUCUAUGAUGUGAUGAUGAUCAAGAGUAAUCAAGCGGAUACAGACUCGAGUGGGUCACUGGAAACAGUGCGGAUGAGGCGCGCACCGUUGAAAUCUUCUUCGACUCACCAAAGGUUUAGAUCAGGGAUUCCAUUAUCCGAACGUGGAAGGGAGACCGUCGGGGAUAGACGACCUCACCGGCAUCAUACCCCUCAUAGACGUCAUUACCCGCGUCCUCCCUCUCCUUACAGUAACCCUCCAGUCUCCCCAGUAGGCUUAGAGUCCUGGCAGUCCACUUAAUAUAAACCAAUUCCACUGGAUAUGGAACUCUAGUAAGCACGUGGUUUUUGUACCUCUCUCUCUCUCUCUCUCUCUCUCU